rnacentral:rRNA from 1 species
AGUGAACGCUGGCGGUAGGCCUAACACAUGCAAGUCGAACGGCAGCACAGUAAGAGCUUGCUCUUACGGGUGGCGAGUGGCGGACGGGUGAGGAAUACAUCGGAAUCUACUUUUUCGUGGGGGAUAACGUAGGGAAACUUACGCUAAUACCGCAUACGACCUACGGGUGAAAGCAGGGGAUCUUCGGACCUUGCGCGAUUGAAUGAGCCGAUGUCGGAUUAGCUAGUUGGCGGGGUAAAGGCCCACCAAGGCGACGACCCGUAGCUGGUCUGAGAGGAUGGUCCGCCACACUGGAACUGAGACACGGUCCAGACUCCUACGGGAGGCAGCAGUGGGGAAUAUUGGACAAUGGGCGCAAGCCUGAUCCAGCCAUACCGCGUGGGUGAAGAAGGCCUUCGGGUUGUAAAGCCCUUUUGUUGGGAAAGAAAAGCAGCAGGUUAAUACCCCGCUGUUCUGACGGUACCCAAAGAAUAAGCACCGGCUAACUUCGUG